rnacentral:sRNA from 2 species
CGGAUAGGUUUGGAAGAAAUAAGCUGUCGAUUUAAGCUUCAUAUGCUUGAAAACGGUUCCAGGGUUCUCCUCCGCCCAUGCCGAGUCGUUGCCAUCGGGAACCAUGUGCAUCCCGAUUCAACGGCGACUUGGGUCAUCUACCUCGGAAGCGUGAAACGUACCUGAACGAUUGACAGUCUUUUUUCUUUACUUUCGUUACUUCCCAUCCCUUUUUUAGGAAAACAGAAGAUGCAGCAGGAUGUUUAUGUUCAUCGAACUUUUCUCAUUUCCCUUUUCAUUGUUGCUCCAACCACCAAGGAUGAAUGCAAUCUCUUAAACCAGCAAAUUCUUUGAUUCUAAGAUUAUCCUUUCGCCAUUGGACUUCAUCCACAAACCCCCUGGCUACGUUACAAAGACAAA